GAUGAACGCUGGCUACAGGCUUAACACAUGCAAGUCGAGGGGAAACGACGGGGAAGCUUGCUUCCCCGGGCGUCGACCGGCGCACGGGUGAGUAACGCGUAUCCAACCUGCCUCUGACUGAGGGAUAACCCGUCGAAAGUCGGCCUAAUACCUCAUGGCAUCGUCUUCGGGCAUCCAACGACGAUUAAAGAUUUCAUCGGUCAGAGAUGGGGAUGCGUCUGAUUAGCUUGUUGGCGGGGUACCGGCCCACCAAGGCGACGAUCAGUAGGGGUUCUGAGAGGAAGGUCCCCCACAUUGGAACUGAGAAACUGUCCAAACUCCUACGGGAGGCAGCAGUGAGGAAUAUUGGUCAAUGGGCGAGAGCCUGAACCAGCCAAGUAGCGUGCAGGAGGACGGCCCUAUGGGUGGUAAACUGCUUUUAUGAGGGGAUAAAGUGAGGGACGUGUCCUUCAUUGCAGGUACCGCAUGAAUAAGGACCGGCUAAUUCCGUG
rnacentral:rRNA from 1 species